rnacentral:rRNA from 1 species
UUGACGGUACCCUACUAGAAAGGAGCCGCUAACUUCGUGCCAGAAGCGUCGGUAAUACGGGGGCUCCAAGCGUUAUCCGGUGUUAUUGGGCGUAAAGAGUCGUGUAGGUGGUUGGGUAAGUUAUCUUUCAAAUAUCUUUGCUUAACAAAGAGGAGGGGGAUAAUACUGCUCGACUAGAAUUUUCUCAAGGGAGAUCGGAACUGAGGGAGGAGUAGUGAAAUGCGUUGAUACCCUCGGGAACACCAGUGGCGUAGGCGGAUCUCUGGGAGAAGAUUGACACUGAGACACGAAAGCUAGGGGAGCGAAGCAGAUUAGAGACCUGCGUAGUCCUAGCCGUAAACGCAUGCUUGCUAGCUGCAUGAAUCUACCUUCGGGUGGUAUCGUGUGGCGAAGGUAACCCGUUAAGCAAGCCGCCUGGAAAGUACGGCCGCAAGGCUGAAAUUCAAAGGAAUUGGCGGGGAGGCACACAACCAGUGGAACAUGUGGUUUAAUUCGAGACUAACCGAAGAACCUCACCAGGGUUUGACAUGUAGCUGCACGUCUUAAGAAAUUAAGACUCUCUUGAAGGUGCUACACAGGUGCUGCAUGGCUGUCGUCAGCUCGUUCCGUGAGGAGUGCCCUUAAGUGGGACAACGAGCGCAACCCCUAUUACAUGUUAGAAAUGUCAUGUAAGACUGCCUUGCCAUUCGGCGGGGAGGAAGGAGGGGCAGACGUCAAGUCCGCAUGGUCCUUAUGCCCUGGGCUACACACAUGUUACAAUGAGUACGGCAAUGAGUCUGUCGCGAGCACGUAAGUGUAAGCUAAUCUCUUAAAUGUACUCUCAGUGGGGAUUGAGGUCUGCAACUCGACCUCAUGAACACGGAAUUGGUAGUAAUC